rnacentral:rRNA from 1 species
AACCUGGCGGCGUGCUUAACACAUGCAAGUCGAGUGCGCGUUUCCGUAGCAAUACGGGAAUGGCGCACGGCGCACGGGUGCGUAACACGUGGGUAAUCUGCCCUCUGAUGGGGAAUAACCCGCCGAAAGGCGGGCUAAUACCGCAUAACAUUCCUUGGACUCCGGUUCGAGGAUUCAAAGGCGCAAGUCGUCGGAGGUGGAGCCCGCGCACGAUUAGCUAGUUGGUAGGGUAAUGGCCUACCAAGGCUAUGAUCGUUAGCUGGUCUGAGAGGAUGGCCAGCCACACUGGAACUGAGACACGGUCUANACUCCUACGGGAGGCAGCAGUGGGGAAUCUUGCACAAUGGGCGAAAGCCUGAUGCAGCGACGCCGCGUGGGGGAUGAAGCUUCUCGGAGUGUAAACCCCUUUCGACCGGGACGAAUGCCCGCAAGGGACUGACGGUACCGGUAUAAGAAGCCCCGGCUAACUACGUGCCAGCAGCCGCGGUAAGACGUAGGGGGCCAGCGUUGCUCGGAAUUACUGGGUGUAAAGGGUUCGUAGGCGGUGUGGCAAGUCGGGAGUGAAAUCUCUGGGCUUAACUCAGGGGCUGCUUCCGAAAAUGCCGUGCUAAA